ensembl:lncRNA
CAAGAACUAUGCUUGCAUGGCUGCUUGUACUAAGCUUGAUGGUACAAGCUGCUCAAAUUAGAAGAUGAAGACAGUCUACUGGGGAGCAUAAAGUAACAUCUUGGAAUACAGAGUGCCAUAUUGCAGAGGUGAAAUGAAUCCUGCCUUUCCUGUUUGAGCUCUCCAGUGAAUUGCACAUAUUCUUUACUACUUUAUAUGUUGCUUACAAGGUUUUUUGUGUGCAUGGAGUCUUUGCAUGCUGAAAAUGAAUCAGUAAAACUGACAUGAAUCCAACUAAGUAUUAUAACAGAUUUCUCAAUGAGACAACCCCAGUAUUUAUUACAGUGUGUAGCACUUUCUCAAAUGCAGUCUUCAUUCUAAGAGAUCUUCAGUUUUUGGAUUCUUCUGUUUAGAAUUUAGUUUACUUAUCUGGAUUAGAAACUGACUCCACAGACAUUAGUGUUAGCACAACUAAGAGAGCUCUUCCCUGUACCACGUGGCAGCAGACAGAAGUAUCUUAAGUUAAUAUUUCUGCUAAAAUUUGUGCUAAAAUUCUGCUAAAAAGUGUGAAGGACUGGUCUAGCACAUGGUUGUUGCAAGCUGAGUUUCCUUCAUCAGCAAAAUAAGUAGAGUACAAUUCCAAGUGUAUAUAUAGGAGAUAGAUCAGAGGCCAUUCCUCAGGAGGAGUAAAAUUAACUCUACAGUGUUCAUACUUCACUAGCACUGGCUCUGAUCAUCAUUACUGUAUAACUUAAAGUACAUCUCAGAUGCUUAGUUCAGUUCAAGUUUAAAUUAUGCUGAGAAAACAUCAGAUGACACCAUAUUAGUCAUAAAUCUUUUGCUUAUUCAUGGUAGAGAUAGAGAUAUAGCUGAAACACAGACAUUACCCACACUGACUCUGUCUAACAUCAGAUGCUGAGAUGCCCAAAUCAGAAGUCUAGUUCUCUUAACUCUCUGUAGAGUUAGUAGAGAGAGAAAAAGAGGUAUCCUCAGAAAUCAAUGCAGAUUCAGAUUUAAAUUGUUCUCCAUAGAUGCAUCUGUCCACUGACUACAGCAGGAUCCCUGAUAACUAAGAGUAACUAAGCACCUAUUGUAGGGGCUCUGGUUAAAUAGAUCAAUGUAGAUGUUAUUUCUGUUGGCUCCUUGGUAGUCACUGUAAGGCAUUCAAAAGGUCCACAACAGGACUAGAUCUGUAUUUGGUAUCCAAGAGAAGAGCCUGUUUUUGCUUAGUUACUCUUGCACAUUUAUUGGUCAGCAGUACAUUGCUGUUUCCUGCUAAUCUCAGGAUACUUUUCCUGAGUGUGCUGACAGAGGGUACGUGGCAUAGAUUUCCAGGCUGUACUAUCUAAAGGGAACAGUGCCUGCUAACAGUUCAUUAACUCCACUUACAUUAGGUACUUACACAGCGGAUGUUUACUUGCUGUCUUGGCUGUAGAUGCAAUGGUAAGUGGUUGCUAGGAGGCAGGAAUGGAUUAAUUCUAAACAGAAAGGCAAAGGAAGAAUCUGCUUUUGAAAGCAAAAAGUGUGUGUUCCCUUAACAAUAGGAGAAUGGAGCACAAAUACUCUGUUCUCAGAAAAAAGCCCAUGGGACCCAGGUAACCAGCCCAAACUUGGAGCAAGAACUAGAGAAAAUGUGAAGAUAUAACAAUAAGAAUGCAUUAAACCUGCUGAGUCCUGAUUUUCUGCCUCUGGUUUUGAUGCUGCACUGGAGAGAAAAAGAAAGAAAGAAAGAAGGAAAGAAGGAAAGAAGGAAAGAAGGAAAGAAGGAAAGAAGGAAAGAAAGAAAGAAAGAAAGAAAGAAAGAAAGAAAGAAAGAAAGAAAGAAAGAAAGAAAGAAAGAAAGAAAGAAAGAAAGAAGAAAGAGAGAGAGAAAGAGAGAGAAAGAAAGAGAGAGAGAGAGAAAGAAAGAAAGAAAGAAAGAAAGAAAGAAAGAAAGAAAGAAAGAAAGAAAGAAAGAAAGAAAGAAAGAAAGAAAGAAAGAAAGAAAGA